rnacentral:lncRNA from 1 species
GAGUUACGAGUAGAAAUUUUGCGUGUGGGCACAUAUCCGCCUGUGUAAACUCUUCCAUAUACCGCACACUUACUCUUUUUACCUGUUCAGGCAGUACUAGCCUGUCGAAAGUGCCUUUGAAGCCCCCGUUUACACCUGCCCUGCGGAUGUCUGAGGGACACGGGGAAUCCAGAUGUUUCGCCGCUCGGAACAUCCUCUACUGACCGCUCGCGAGCCGCCUAAAUGUGGGCAAUAGCAGGAAAACAGAAGGGCCCCCUUGGCUACGACGUCGCACCUCGGAGUUCGGCCGUGAAUUUCCCCGAUUCUCCAUAAAAGCCAAAUGUGAGUCCCGUCGGGCGAGAAAUUGUGAAAUCCACCAAAAUUCUACGGUAAAGGCAGCGUAAACAAAAUAUUUUUCUUUCCUAUUCACAGGUAUUCAGAUAUGUGAGUGAAAUCAAGUUUAAAAAAAGCGUAAACUGCUGAUAUAUGGAGAUAAGCGGUAGAUAAGACAAAGGCAACGUUUUUUUGUGUAUUUCUGGUCAAGUGCAACACACAUAUAAUGGAGAGGCCGACGUCUUUGUCUCGAGCUCUAGUGCGGGGAGCGCGAACGGUGCCCGCGUUACUCUUUUCGUCCGACGGCUCGUGUCGUCCCGAAGGUCGCGGGUUCCCGCGGGUAUCUUCCCUCCAUCCUGGCCGCCGGUUCCGAAGCCGCGGAGACGUGCGGGAGACCGGCGGCUCGUCCGCCGAGGAGGAGGCCUGCGAGACGGCAUCGGGGACUUUGUCCCGGUCGCUCCGGUCUGAGCGGGAACCGGCGGCCGAGUCGUCCGGGAAAGGAAAGCGACGCCCCGCACGUUGGCGGGCGACCCGAAGGGCGGCGCCUGGAAACGGGACCCGAGGCGAGCCGGCACGGGCGGAGCGGCGCCGUACCCUCUCCACCGAACGAUGCCGGUUCGGAGAACUUCCCACCUCGUUCGCCUGUCGGUUCAAUCAAUUCGGGAGCAGAUCGACCGGAAGAGGCAAAGGCAGAAAAUUGCAAAGAGCGACAAAAAGAAACACGCAAGUAAGUGCACGGAAGGUCACGUGCGGCCAGUUCACCUCGAAGGGUAUGAAAUCUCUGCAUAUAAAGACAUUGGGAGUGAAGACUUAUGCAAACUGCACAUCAAACUGA